UACGGGAAGGCAGCAGUGGGGAAUAUUGCACAAUGGGCGAAAGCCUGAUGCAGCUAUGCCGCGUGUAUGAAGAAGGCCUUAGGGUUGUAAAGUACUUUCAUCGGGGAGGAAAAACAAAACUAAUAAUUUUAUUUCUUGACGUUACCCGAAAAAGAAGCACCGGCUAACUCCGUGCCAGCAGCCGCGGUAAUACGGAGGGUGCUAGCGUUAAUCAGAAUUACUGGGCGUAAAGAGCACGUAGGUGGUUUUUUAAGUCAGAUGUGAAAUCCCUGGGCUUAACCUAGGAACUGCAUUUUGAAACUGAAAUACUAGAGUAUCGUAGAGGGAGGUAGAAUUCUAGGUGUAGCGGUGAAAUGCGUAGAUAUCUGGAGGAAUACCUGUGGCGAAAGCGGCCUCCUAAACGAAUACUGACACUGAGGUGCGAAAAGCGUGGGGAGCAAAACAGGGAUUAGAUACC
rnacentral:rRNA from 1 species